AGACCCAGCCCCUGCACACCAGGCCUCAAUCCUGCAAUCAAGCAUGCACAAACACACAGACAAGACAAGCUAUGCGGCAGAGGGCAUAACAAAUAAAGGAAUUAGGAAAUAGACACAGACUUGUCACAUUUGACUGGAGGACUAUGACAAAUAUUUAAUAAUAAAAAUCUGUGGAGAGCAGACAGAUGAUUUCCAUAGAGAGAAGGCUUUGCAUGGUCAGCUGAUCCUCCAGUGAACUGAGAAGGUUUAUAGUCGUGUGAGUUCAACACUGCAGGACUCACAUGUGUCACUCAACACAGCACAAAGCACAAACAGCAUGACUCUCAUCAGCAUCUUCAUCUGGACGCUGGCCUGCUGCUGCUUCACAGGAUCCAGCAGUCAGAUGACUGUGACUCAGCCUCCAGUGGUGACAUUUACUCCAGGAUCCACUGUCACUCUGUCCUGUAGAACCAACACAACAGUUUUCACAUUUGAUGAUGGAGAUGAGGGGCUUUACUGGUAUCAACAGAAAUCUGGAGAGGCUCCAAAGCUCGUAAUAAAAUAUGUGAAAACACGUGAAUCAGGAACACCAGCUCGGUUCAGUGGCAGUGGAAGCGGGACUGACUUCACUUUGACCAUCAGUGGAGUCCAGGCUGAAGAUGCAGCAGUUUAUCACUGGAGAGAAGCUAAAGACGCAGCUCAGAGGACGACUGGCCAUCUGGAGAUGCUGGUCCACCUGUGGCCGAGGAGUCUUCUGCCAACAACUUUCUGACUCAGCCUGACAAAUCCAAGUCUGUGAGUCUUGGAGGGACUGUGUCCAUCAGCGCCACAGGAAGUUCAAAUAUCGGUGCUGAUCUCAGCUGGUACCUUCAGAAACCCGG